rnacentral:SRP_RNA from 1 species
UUUUGGGCCCUGUGCAACAAUGUAUUGCGAAACCCGCCAGGUCCGGAAGGAAGCAACGGUAAGCAUGUGCAGUGUGUGCCGCAGGAUUACCUGAAAGCC